rnacentral:rRNA from 1 species
CAUGCAAGUCGAACGGAAAGGCCCUUCGGGGUACUCGAGUGGCGAACGGGUGAGUAACACGUGGGUGAUCUGCCCUGCACUUUGGGAUAAGCCUGGGAAACUGGGUCUAAUACCGAAUAUGACCACAUGCUUCAUGGUGUGUGGUGGAAAGCUUUUGCGGUGUGGGAUGGGCCCGCGGCCUAUCAGCUUGUUGGUGGGGUAAUGGCCUACCAAGGCGACGACGGGUAGCCGGCCUGAGAGGGUGACCGGCCACACUGGGACUGAGAUACGGCCCAGACUCCUACGGGAGGCAGCAGUGGGGAAUAUUGCACAAUGGGCGCAAGCCUGAUGCAGCGACGCCGCGUGAGGGAUGACGGCCUUCGGGUUGUAAACCUCUUUCAAUAGGGACGAAGCGCAAGUGACGGUACCUAUAGAAGAAGGACCGGCCAACUACGUGCCAGCAGCCGCGGUAAUACGUAGGGUCCGAGCGUUGUCCGGAAUUACUGGGCGUAAAGAGCUCGUAGGUGGUUUGUCGCGUUGUUCGUGAAAACUCACAGCUUAACUGUGGGCGUGCGGGCGAUACGGGCAGACUAGAGUACUGCAGGGGAGACUGGAAUUCCUGGUGUAGCGGUGGAAUGCGCAGAUAUCAGGAGGAACACCGGUGGCGAAGGCGGGUCUCUGGGCAGUAACUGACGCUGAGGAGCGAAAGCGUGGGGAGCGAACAGGAUUAGAUACCCUGGUAGUCCACGCCGUAAACGGUGGGUACUAGGUGUGGGUUCCUUCCUUGGGAUCCGUGCCGUA